CAUAUCAUUUAAUUUUAACUCUUUUAAUUGAGAUGUGAAAUUUUCUACUAACGUCAGCAGUAGCCCAUUUGUUAUUGUUAGAUAAUUUUUUAUGUUGGCUAAAUCAGAACUUAUUGCUAGGGAAUAAUCCAAAGGGCGACCGUCACUCAAUUCUGUUUGAGAGUAUUUUGGAGUAAGUAUCUGGUUUUGAUGGGUUGAUGUAAUUUCUUCCGUGGGCAGCUGUUCCUUAGUAAUAGAGGUAUUUCCCUCCUGAAGUUCCUCGGCUAAAGCUAGUUCUUGCGCUAGGCUGCAUGGGGAGUUAAUAUUUCCAGUAUCUUGGUAUAUCUCUUUAAAAUUAGAUGUCCAAUCAAGAACAGUAAGAGAGGGGGGUAUUACUUCAUCAAGAAUUAACUCUUUUUGUGGACUCUUACCCUCCUCCAUCUUAGGAAAGUAAUUUGUGAUUUUGCUUUGUCUUUUACCAGGGCCCGAGGGGCUGAUUGCCGAGUCAGGCAGUAUACCCAACUCCUUGUAUUUUCUCCUAGUAAAAACCAUGGUAAAAGUGGUCUCGAUAUAGAGAGAGGGCAGUUUACCCCAGGUGCGACUGCCUUAGAUUGGGGGGCAAGUGGGGGUAU